CCAGUUCAAACAAUAUACUCAUACAAAGACAAUGUGACGUUUAAAUGUGAUAAUGGAUAUGAGUUGUCAUCAGCCGAUACCAUAACCUGUCAAAGUGAUGGAACAUGGAGUAAAAAACAACCAAAUUGUACAGGUGUUCUAUGCCCUCCUUUGCCUAAGGUUGGCAAUGCCUUACUACCAACCAAGAUACAAGGAUAUAGAUAUCCUGAAACAUUGAAAGUCACUUGUGAAACAGGUUAUGUGUUUGAUGGUUCUGAUCUACUCCAGUGUAAUUCAAGUGGAUUUUGGGGAUUUAUACCACAAUGCAAAGGAGUUUUAUGUAGAGACUUUCCCAAAAUAGACAGCAUAGUGACGUCUAUACAGGCAACAAAAAGAUACCGGUUUCCGGCGUCUGUGAAUGUCUCUUGCAAAGCAGGAUACCAGAUUAACGGUUCCAACCCACUGCAUUGUAAUCAAACCGGAGAUUGGAGUACCCCACCAGUUUG